AUAUGCGUUCACAAGCACUAGCGUAGUGAUACGCCACAAUAUAGUGCGAGGCGUAAACCGGUGAUCACAUGGGCUGGAAAGCAUUCCAUGUAUAGCCAUCUUUGAAUGCUAAUAAAGAGCUUGACACCGCUCCAUGGAAAUGCCUGUCUUUGGCUUAUAAUAGCUAUACCAAUACUAUUACAACACUGUUACAUAUGAUUGUCA